rnacentral:rRNA from 1 species
AUUGAACGCUGGCGGCGUGCCUAAUACAUGCAAGUCGAACGGAGUGGCGCACGGGUGAGUAAUGUAUAGCUCAUCUGCCCUCCACUAGAGGACAACAGUUGGAAAAGACUGUUACUACUCUAUAGUGUAGGUUGAGGGUAUAUUGUAUCAGCUAGUUGGUGAGGUAAUGGCGAACCAAGGCUAUGACGCAUAACUGGUUUGUCAGGAUGAUCAGCAAAACGGGAACUGAGACACGGUUCAGACUCCUACGGGAGUGAGCAGUAGGGAAGAGUGCGCAAGGGGGGAGACCCUGAAGCAGCAACGGCGCGUGGAGGAUGACACUUUUCGGAGCGGAAACUGCGUUUGUUAGGGAAGCGGUACCUAAAGAAGAAGCACCGGCUAACUCCGUGCCAGCAGCCGCGGUAAUAC